rnacentral:sRNA from 1 species
AUUGCUAGUUAGUUAAUCGAACACUAUAUGUAAUUAUAUAAACCGUCAGGUUCUAUGGAAACAAACAUACUUUCGGUUUUUACCAUUGAGUAAGUGAUUCAACCUCCUUUUAUCCUAUGAUAUCUAUAAUAUCUAUAUCCAAUCUUGCAAGGCCGAGAUCAACUCAAAGCUCGAUUGGGAACGACUUCCCCGCGACGUUUCGCAUUUUUUUUUUCGAUAUUCGGCCAUAAGACAAUUCGUGAUUCCAUCAAGCUCAAAGCCAGACUACACCUGGCAACGGCGGAUGCAAGCUGCAAUCCGCAAUCCGGCAGACCACCCCUCAAGUACAAGUUGUCCCCAGUAGAUACGCGGGGGUAUUCUGGAGUUUCAUUCACACGCUCCUUUAUCACCUUUCUCAAUGUACUCCUCUUGGUUCAGCAUUCCACUUGAUGCAAAUAUUAGUCAAUUACUAUUUGGCGUUGGUAUGAAAUGGGCGGACAGGACCGGUGUUGGGGAGGUGAUUUCUAUACAAACGACAAGAUCCGCCAGAACGCCUGUGUCCCAAUGUCGUAAGGUGUGGUGAACACCUAGGUGGCCCCUUUAACCGAAGAUUUUUUUCCAUUUUGAUGAGAGGGCUGCCUGGUGUGCUCAUUGAAUAACUCGAACGACAAAUUGCAGAUUGGUGCCGAAGAGCCAUGGUUGGAAGAAUUGAAAUCAUGUAUCACCUCUAACUAUAACGAUCAUGGCAUUCUCCAGGGUAAAGGACGAUUUGCUCCCGGAAUUACUGGAAGCCGCGGACAGAGCUCACGAUUUGCCUGGGCACAACAUGGUUUCCCCCUUUCCAACCUGAACGCUUUUUGCAGAUAUCCUUUUCGCUCCAGCCUUCGCCCGUUCAUUUAAAUCCGAUAUCGAAUACCAAGAGACUCUUUUGCGUGUAAAAGGAUUACAGAAUUAGAAAUAUGGAAUUGUGUUCACUUAUGGUGAUCUCAAGGGGUAGAUUCUUGUUGGUGACGAUGGACAUCUAUCUGAGUGUCUCGCCUUGGAAUCUGCAGGCUGUAUCCCAAAUAUUGGGAAAUUUAUGAGAGCUAUGCGCUUUGGGGAAGAUAGCUGGUGGUUCCAAGUCGCUUCUUGGAUGGGUGGAAUUCUAUAAGGGAAUGAGCUGGGACUCGGAUGUGGCUCUAAAUCUAGUUAUUAGUUUACUAUGGAUGCUUACAUAGCCCUUUAAGCGGACUCAAGCUUCCAGAUAUUAAAUAGGUAAAUAUGAAAGUUAAGAAGCAUGCAAGCACUCACUGCAUUG